GUGGGGAAUUUUGGACAAUGGGGGCAACCCUGAUCCAGCCAUGCCGCGUGCGGGAAGAAGGCCUUCGGGUUGUAAACCGCUUUUGUCAGGGAAGAAAUCUUCUGGGCUAAUACCCCGGGAGGAUGACGGUACCUGAAGAAUAAGCACCGGCUAACUACGUGCCAGCAGCCGCGGUAAUACGUAGGGUGCGAGCGUUAAUCGGAACUACUGGGCGUAAAGCGUGCGCAGGCGGCUUUGCAAGACAGAUGUGAAAUCCCCGGGCUCAACCUGGGAACUGCAUUUGUGACUGCAAGGCUAGAGUACGGCAGAGGGGGAUGGAAUUCCGCGUGUAGCAGUGAAAUGCGUAGAUAUGCGGAGGAACACCAAUGGCGAAGGCAAUUCCCUGGGCCUGUACUGACGCUCAUGCACGAAAGCGUGGGGAGCAAACAGGAUUAGAUACCCUGGUAGUCC
rnacentral:rRNA from 1 species